CCCACGUCUCCCAGUGGGAGACGUUGGAUGUCCCCCUGGCCAUUUAAUGAAUUUUGGGUCUUCUUCUUCCUCAUAACACCAAACAGAGAGAGCACACCAAACAGAGAGCACGAAAGGGGUUGCGAUUUUAGGGUUUUCAAGGUUGUGAUUUUGGUGGUGAGAUUUUAGAGAGUACUUUGCAUCAAAACUUCUAUAUCUAUCAAUCACACAUUUGAGAUGGUUAGGUCACUAUUAUAGGGGAAAUGCUGCCCGAUAUUAUUUAGGAUAAUAAACGAUUAGUUGAGAACGGGCAUUACUUGAUUGAACAUGCAAGUCCCAGGCAUUACUUGAGAACGGUAUUAUUAAUUAAAAUUUACAAAUUAUUUUUGAAACUAUAAAUGUAAUCAAAUAAUUAAUUAAUAUAUUUUACUUUAUAUUUCUUGCAGCUAACAAGUACAUCAUAUACAGAGGCACAAAUUGAUGAGUUGCGACAAGAAUGGGCGACAUAUAUGUUGCCGAUAAUCCAAAGUUACCGACCUCGUUGAUAGGUUUUUUUUUAAUUUUUUAACUCUUUCUUCAUACACAAUGCAAUAUUUGUUCAUUUUGAAUAUUUCUAACAAAUAUUGUAUUUCUUGUAUAUAUCUAACAAAUAUAUUUUUUUAUUUCAAUUUAAAUUAAUAUUAUUUCAAUUUAAUUAAUUAUUAAAUUAAUUUCAAUUUAGAUUAAAAUAAUUUCAAUUUAAAUUAAAAUAAUUUCAAUUUAAAUUAAUAUUAUUUCAAUUUAAAUUAAUAUUAUUUCAAUUUAAUUAAUUAUUAAAUCAAAUUAAAAUAAUAUUAAUUAUAAAUUUAUUUAAUUUAUUUUUUUUAAAUGUGG